rnacentral:rRNA from 1 species
AGUGAACGCUGGCGGUAGGCCUAACACAUGCAAGUCGAACGGCAGCACAGUAAGAGCUUGCUCUUACGGGUGGCGAGUGGCGGACAGGUGAGGAAUACAUCGGAAUCUACUUUUUCGUGGGGGAUAACGUAGGGAAACUUACGCUAAUACCGCAUACGACCUCCGGGUGAAAGCAGGGGAUCUUCGGACCUUGCGCGAUUGAAUGAGCCGAUGUCGGAUUAGCUAGUUGGCGGGGUAAAGGCCCACCAAGGCGACGAUCCGUAGCUGGUCUGAGAGGAUGAUCAGCCACACUGGAACUGAGACACGGUCCAGACUCCUACGGGAGGCAGCAGUGGGGAAUAUUGGACAAUGGGCGCAAGCCUGAUCCAGCCAUACCGCGUGGGUGAAGAAGGCCUUCGGGUUGUAAAGCCCUUUUGUUGGGAAAGAAAAGCAGCAGGUUAAUACCCCGCUGUUCUGACGGUACCCAAAGAAUAAGCACCGGCUAACUUCGUG